AAAAACUUUAGAAAAAAUAAGAGAAAAGCUAAUUUUUAAAACUUAUGGGAUCCAUGGCUGGGUAACAUUUUCAUACUUGACACCAAAAAAUUACAGUACAUAAAAGGAAAAAUUGGCAAAUUAACCUUCAUCAAAAUUAAAUCUUUUGUUCUCUCAUAGUGCCUGUUAAGAGGAUGUGCAGGUAAGAUACAGACUAGGAAAAAUAUUUGUAAACCAUUAAUCCAACGAUAAAAUUGUGUCUAGAAUACAUAAAGGACCAAAAGUCACAAUGAGCCAUUUCACUAAAAAGAAUAUACAGUGGGCUAAUUAGCACACAAAAAGAUGGUUACAUCAUCUGCCUUUUGGUAAAUGCAAAUUAAAACCACAAUAAAAAAUAGAGGUUUUUAGGACAGGGAAACUACUUGUGUGAUACUAAAACGGUAGACACGUGUCAUCAUAAGUUUUUCCAAACUCAUAAAAAUGCAACAACACAAGUGAACCCUAAUGUAAACUAUAAACUUUGGAUGAUAACGUGUCAAUGUAAGUUUAUUAACUCUGACAAAUGUAUGACUCUAGUAGGGAUGUUGAUAAUGAGAGAAGGCUAUACAUGUGUGGGGGCAGAGGUAUAUGGAUUAUCUCUGUACUUUCCUUGCAGUUAUUCUGUGAAUCUAAAACUGCUCUAAAAAGUAAAGUCUAUUUUCUUUUUAAAAAGACACUCACAGGACCAAGAUGCCUGAAUAGAAGUUUCUAUGGAUUCUCCCUGCUCCUCCACAGUUUAACAACUGUCUACACAAAAAGUACUUCCAUAAGAACCAAAAAUCAGAAGCAUGCCUUACCCAGAUAG
rnacentral:lncRNA from 13 species